UACGUAGGGUGCAAGCGUUAAUCGGAAUUACUGGGCGUAAAGCGUGCGCAGGCGGUUGUGCAAGACAGAUGUGAAAUCCCCGGGCUCAACCUGGGAACUGCAUCCGAGACUGCAUUGCUAGAGUAUGGGAGAGGGAAGCGGAAUUUCUGGUGUAGCAGUGAAAUGCGUAGAUAUCAGAAGGAACAUCAGUGGCGAAGGCGGCUUCCUGGACCAAUACUGACGAUCAGGUGCGAAAGCGUGGGGAGCAAACAGG
rnacentral:rRNA from 1 species